GAGCUGCCAACAAUAAAUAUCUCAGAUGUGCAUCGUUUAUGUCGGGAAACAAAAACUCAGACAAGCAAAUUGGAGAAGGGGUUUAGGCUGUAUGCUGCGACCUACAUUCACAGCUACGAAGAUCGAGCUUUGUGAUUCAUCAGCCAAGGGAUGAGAAAAGAAAGAGUUAAUCUAUGGGCUGGAGCAGCUGUCUCUGAGAGGAAAAGAAAAAAAGUAUAGCUCAAAAACAACAAAUACAAAUGCAAUGGCAUCACGUAUAAUUACAUCUGUAACUACUUAUAAAGUACUGUUGAUGCACGUGCAGGUGCGACCACUUCUUUUUUCUGGGCAGCUGAUUUGGCUCUGGAAACACGGACCAUCUUGUAGAGACAAG
ensembl:lncRNA